rnacentral:rRNA from 1 species
AUACGUAGGUGGCGAGCGUUUAUCCGGAAUUAUUGGGCGUAAAGAGCGUCGCAGGUGGUUGAUUAAGUCUGAUGUGAAAGCCCACGGCUUAACCGUGGAGGGUCAUUGGAAACUGGUCGACUUGAGUGCAGAAGAGGGAAGUGGAAUUCCAUGUGUAGCGGUGAAAUGCGUAGAGAUAUGGAGGAACACCAGUGGCGAAGGCGGCUUCCUGGUCUGUAACUGACACUGAGGCGCGAAAGCGUGGGGAGC